rnacentral:rRNA from 1 species
UACGAAGGGUGCAAGCGUUACUCGGAAUUACUGGGCGUAAAGCGUGCGUAGGUGGUUUUUUAAGUCCGUUGUGAAAGCCCUGGGCUCAACCUGGGAAUGGCAGUGGAUACUGGAAAGCUAGAGUGCGGUAGAGGGUAGUGGAAUUCCCGGUGUAGCAGUGAAAUGCGUAGAGAUCGGGAGGAACACCAGUGGCGAAGGUGGCUACCUGGACCAGCACUGACACUGAGGCACGAAAGCGUGGGGAGCAAACAGG